CUCGGGUUUGGUGUUGAGCGAUACGCUGGGUUUGCUUGAAAGAAAGGCGGAGUAUAAACUAAUGGAUAGGUUUUUUCCACUCAUUGGUACAAACUCCAAAACUUCUUCCAAAUUCGACCUCAAAUCAGGUAGGACUACCCGCUGAACUUAAGCAUAUCAAUAAGCCGGAGGAAAAGAAACCAACAGGAUUGCCUUAGUAGCGGCGAGUGAAGCGGCAAAAGCUCAAAUUUGAAAUCUGGCACUUUCAGUGUCCGAGUUGUAAUUUGAAGAAGGUAUCUUUGGGUCUGGCUCUUGUCUAUGUUUCUUGGAACAGAACGUCACAGAGGGUGAGAAUCCCGUGCGAUGAGAUGUCCCAGACCUAUGUAAAGUUCCUUCGAAGAGUCGAGUUGUUUGGGAAUGCAGCUCUAAGUGGGUGGUAAAUUCCAUCUAAAGCUAAAUAUUGGCGAGAGACCGAUAGCGAACAAGUACAGUGAUGGAAAGAUGAAAAGAACUUUGAAAAGAGAGUGAAAAAGUACGUGAAAUUGUUGAAAGGGAAGGGCUUGAGAUCAGACUUGGUAUUUUGUAUGUUACUCUCUCGGGGGUGGCCUCUACAGUUUACCGGGCCAGCAUCAGUUUGAGCGGUAGGAUAAGUGCAAAGAAAUGUGGCACUGCUUCGGUAGUGUGUUAUAGUCUUUGUCGAUACUGCCAGCUUAGACUGAGGACUGCGGCUUCGGCCUAGGAUGUUGGCAUAAUGAUCUUAAGUCGCCCGUCUUGAAACACGGACCAAGGAGUCUAACGUCUAUGCGAGUGUUUGGGUGUAAAACCCCGUACGCGUAAUGAAAGUGAACGUAGGUAGGACCUCCUUUAGGAGUGCACUAUCGACCGAUCUGAUGUCUUCCGAU
rnacentral:rRNA from 1 species